rnacentral:rRNA from 1 species
CCUACGGGAGGCAGCAGUGGGGAAUAUUGGACAAUGGGGGCAACCCUGAUCCAGCCAUGCCGCGUGUGUGAAGAAGGCCCUCGGGUUGUAAAGCACUUUCAGUGAGGAAGAACGCCUGGUGGUUAAUACCCAUCAGGAAAGACAUCACUCACAGAAGAAGCACCGGCUAACUCCGUGCCAGCAGCCGCGGUAAUACGGAGGGUGCGAGCGUUAAUCGGAAUUACUGGGCGUAAAGCGCGCGUAGGUGGCUUGAUAAGCCGGUUGUGAAAGCCCCGGGCUCAACCUGGGAACGGCAUCCGGAACUGUCAAGCUAGGGUGCAGGGGAGGAAGGUAGAAUCCCCGGUGUAGCGGUAAAAGGCGUAGAGUUCGGGAGGAAUACCAGUGGCGAAGGCGGCCUUUUGGAUUGACACUGACACUGAGGUGCGAAAGCGUGGGUAGCAAACAGGAUUAGAUACCCUAGUAGUC